rnacentral:rRNA from 1 species
CAGGCCUAACACAUGCAAGUCGAACGAAGGCUUCGGCCUUAGUGGCGCACGGGUGCGUAACGCGUGGGAAUCUGCCCUUAGGUUCGGAAUAACAGUUAGAAAUGACUGCUAAUACCGGAUGAUGACGUAAGUCCAAAGAUUUAUCGCCUAGGGAUGAGCCCGCGUAGGAUUAGCUAGUUGGUGUGGUAAAGGCGCACCAAUGCGACGAUCCUUAUCUGGUCUGAGAGGAUGAUCAGCCACACUGGGACUGAGACACGGCCGAGACUCCUACGGGAGGCAGCAGUGGGGAAUAUUGGACAAUGGGCGCAAGCCUGAUCCAUCAAUGCCGCGUGAGUGAUGAAGGCCUUAGGGUUGUAAAGCUCUUUUACCCGGGAUGAUAAUGACAGUACCGGGAGAAUAAGCCCCGGCUAACUCCGUGCCAGCAGCCGCGGUAAU